GUGUUGAUAGAAUAAUCAAAGAUAUGCAAUCUGAAGCAGACAGAGCAGGUAUUUUAUUUAAUUUAUGAUUUUUAUUUCAGAAUGAUGAAAAUGCUCUCAGCUAUACCGUAAUAGUGUAUAGGCUUCUGAAAGUGCAUCAGGAGGAGACAUUUUAUCUCUUUCCUCCAUAGAGUUCGUGCAUGCAUGUAUUAACUUUAGGCAGAGCCACAUGCAGCAGGAAGCUGGAAGUUUGAAGAAAGAUGAUGUGUCAAAGAAUACCAACUCACAAAAGCCAUAGAUUGUUGAGUUCAUCCAGAGACUUGGAACCCAAUGUGGUCUGUGGCAAGCAUACUUGCAGGCCUUCUGUCGUUCAUGGUAAGUUCAUCAAUCAUCUCCUCCUCUUUUAUCCUUUUUUUUUUUUCAUGGUUCAUUCUGGAAGCCCCUGUUGCUGUUAGCAAACACAAGUGGAAGGAGAAAUGCACCAAGUUUCAUCAUUCAAAGGGAAGGAGAAAUGGUAAUAUGAAUUUCAUUAGUUUGUACAAUAAUGAUGUUUUUUUUUUUUUUUUUCCUGAAUCAUGUCUAAUAGCCUCACAAAAAUUUUUAUGAACACUAAAUUCAUAACAUUGAUCCCAAGAAGAACAAGAGGAAAGAAAAUUGCUAUUAAAUCCUGCAACAAUUGAGAAUUCCAUUUGAUCCCUAUUACUUUUAUACUUUGUGAAGUCCAUUACUUUAAAGUGAAUGUAACAAUUUUCUUUUUGCCUGUUUUUGUUAAAGUAUGUGUUCUUAGUUCUUUAUCUUGUCUGGAGAUUGUUAUGACUGUUA